UUUGUGGACAUCCAGAACCCCUCGGUGUUCGUACGCUUCGCGUACAGGCCGGCACAGACGCAUCCGUCCGCCGUAAGCCACCCGACACCCGCGGUAUUCCCCGCGCGGUACAUCGUACCGCCGAGCACGAUCGCUCACGCACGAGGAUCGCCCGCGACACCGUUCCGGUGUGGGAACCGCCCUCGCGACGCCGCCAUUUUGGUCUGCGGACCAACCGUCGCAAGAUAAGACGCCAGCCUCGCCAUCCGUUACAACAACCGACGCCGGAAACCAGGCAGACCGGUGGAUUCAUCCGCCGUAGUCCCAGAGUCCGUCAACAUACUCGGGAGCGUCGAGGCAGGUGGCGCAGAAGAGGGUCGAGUACGAGAACAGCAGCUGACCGCCCAUAGUUGUCGCCGAACGUGAGAGGAAGACGUGUCCCGCCCCGGUUGACCGAGUCCCGGAGGUCGGUGGAGGCGUGUAGCCGUUGUUCCAGGAACGCGAGCUGAGAGUGGAGAGAAAGCGGAAGCAGCAGUUCCGGAAAGGGCCCGAAGAAGAAGGAAGAAGGACGUGUGAGGUCCAAUCGAGUGUUUCCCUUUCCGAUUCCGGAUUAACAUGCCGACCCUGAAGCAAAAAGAGGGGGGUCUCACUAAUGCUGGAGUAGCCCACCAUUUGUUACAUGUUGGAGACGGUGGAGCCGAGUCUCGGCGGAGCUAGAGUCAGAGUCAGAGUCGACGUAACUAAAUCUCUAGAAGCCAGAGUCGGAUUCGGUGUCACAAAAUCGGAGUCGGAGUAACUUCACUGUAAGAGGUACCCGACUCCACUGUCCUCAUAGGAAUCAUACUGAACAUGGUAAAAAAGGUGUUCAUUGGAAAAUAGUGUACAAGUUGCCGGACUGUGAUGUCACGCAACUGGGAAAAGUUGCGCAUGACACCCACUGGUUCGGGGUGACGAAAAUGUGGUUGGGCUUGAACUUGGUGUAAAAACUCACCGUUCCAAAGUGGUUGUCCUCAUUCGGUUCAUCAGCUCCAGGGAACGUUGUUGGCUCCCACAACUUGCAAAGAAAUAUAUCAACGUUGACGAAAACGGCAGUUGAUCACAGAAUUUCCAAGUGCUCGUGGCCUCGAGGCAUUUUCAAAAGUCGUUUUGUCUGAGAGCCGUUUUCUUUUAGACCGAAAAUGAAUCCGUUAGGCUUGUUUGUAACAAUAUGCAGCUUGCAUAUAAUUUUGGCCAUUCCUGAAAGUUUUGAUGCAGUUGAUCCAGAGGACACUUACGCGAAAAAAAUUGCAGCGGAAUAUCCAGGCUUUUUGUUUAAACGAGCUCCUUCUGGCUUUUUCGGAAUGAGAGGCAAGAAACAAAACAACGAAGGAAUAAAACGUGCUCCAUAUGGCUUUACAGGCAUGCGUGGUAAAAAAGCCGAAACAUUUGAGGAAGGUUAUCAUUAUCCUACUAAUGAAGCGGAUUUUUAUGAGUUACUGAUGAAAUGGCAAAACCAAUUGAAUUUAAUUAGCUAUGCAAACCAGCCCUACGAUACUGAAUCAGACACAAUCGGAAAACGUGCACCAUCUGGUUUUAUGGGAA